rnacentral:ncRNA from 1 species
AGAAGUUCUCGGGGCGGGGUGCAAUUCCCCACCGGCGGUAUCGGGCGGUGUUGUUUCUGCCCGGAGCCCGCGAGCGCCUGUCCGGUUUGCCGGAGAGGGUCAGCAGAUCCGGUGCGAUGCCGGAGCCGACGGUAUAGUCCGGAUGAAAGAGAGCUUGU